UACAGAGGUCCCAAGCGUUGUUCGGAUUCACUGGGUUUAAAGGGUGCGUAGGUGGGCAAGUAAGUCAGUGGUGAAAUCUCCGGGCUUAACCCGGAAACUGCCAUUGAUACUAUUUGUCUUGAAUACUGUGGAGGUCAGCGGAAUAUGUCAUGUAGCGGUGAAAUGCUUAGAUAUGACAUAGAACACCAAUUGCGAAGGCAGCUGGCUACACAAAUAUUGACACUGAGGCACGAAAGCGUGGGGAUCAAACAGG
rnacentral:rRNA from 1 species